UAGAACGCUGAAGCUUGGUGCUUGCACCGAGCGGAUGAGUUGCGAACGGGUGAGUAACGCGUAGGUAACCUGCCUCUUAGCGGGGGAUAACUAUUGGAAACGAUAGCUAAUACCGCAUAAAAGUCGAUACCGCAUGAUGUUGACUUGAAAGGUGCAAAUGCAUCACUAAGAGAUGGACCUGCGUUGUAUUAGCUAGUUGGUGAGGUAACGGCUCACCAAGGCGACGAUACAUAGCCGACCUGAGAGGGUGAUCGGCCACACUGGGACUGAGACACGGCCCAGACUCCUACGGGAGGCAGCAGUAGGGAAUCUUCGGCAAUGGGGGCAACCCUGACCGAGCAACGCCGCGUGAGUGAAGAAGGUUUUCGGAUCGUAAAGCUCUGUUGUAAGAGAAGAACGAGUGUGAGAGUGGAAAGUUCACGCUGUGACGGUAUCUUACCAGAAAGGGACGGCUAACUACGUGCCAGCAGCCGCGGUAAUACGUAGGUCCCGAGCGUUAUCCGGAUUUAUUGGGCGUAAAGCGAGCGCAGGCGGUUAGAUAAGUCUGAAGUUAAAGGCUGUGGCUUAACCAUAGUACGCUUUGGAAACUGUUUAACUUGAGUGCAGAAGGGGAGAGUGGAAUUCCAUGUGUAGCGGUGAAAUGCGUAGAUAUAUGGAGGAACACCGGUGGCGAAAGCGGCUCUCUGGUC
rnacentral:rRNA from 1 species